rnacentral:sRNA from 1 species
GUCGCUGCAAAAUCAGCGACCGGGCGUGGAAACCCGUUUGAAAACUUGGCGCACAGGCGCCCCCAUUACGAUUGCAGGCGUCUUUUUU